GAGCUUGCUCUUGAUGACGAGUGGCGCACGGGUGAGUAACGCGUAUGCAAUCUACCUAUAACUGAGGAAUAGCCCAGAGAAAUCUGGAUUAAUACUUCAUAAUAUUAUUAUUUGGCAUCAUUUAAUAAUUAAAACUCCGGUGGUUAUAGAUGAGCAUGCGUUCUAUUAGCUAGUUGGUGAGGUAAGAGCUCACCAAGGCUACGAUAGAUAGGGGGCCUGAAAGGGUGAUCCCCCACACUGGUACUGAGACACGGACCAGACUCCUACGGGAGGCAGCAGUGAGGAAUAUUGCACAAUGGAGGAAACUCCGAUGCAGCCAUGCCGCGUGCAGGAUGAAGGCCCUAUGGGUUGUAAACUGCUUUUUUACAAGAAGAAACCUUGGUACGUGUACCAACUUGACGGUAUUGUAAGAAUAAGCACCGGCUAACUCCGUGCCAGCAGCCGCGGUAAUACGGAGGGUGCAAGCGUUAUCCGGAUUUAUUAGGUUUAAAGGGUUCGCAGGCGGAAUUUUAAGUCAGUGGUGAAAGCCUACAGCUCA
rnacentral:rRNA from 1 species